GACGGAGGGGGCAAGCGUUGUCCGGAAUCACUGGGCGUAAAGCGCGUGUAGGCGGUCGUGUGCGUCGGUGCUGAAAGCGCCCGGCUUAACCGGGCGAGGCGUGCCGAUACGAUGCGACUGGAGGCAGGCAGAGGGCGGCGGAAUUCCGGGUGUAGCGGUGAAAUGGGUAGAGCUCCGGAGGAAAGCCGGUGGGGUAGCCGGCCGCCUGGGCCUGACCUGACGCUGAGACGCGACAGCGUGGGGAGCAAACCGG
rnacentral:rRNA from 1 species